AUGAUCACAGUUAUCAUCUGCCUCACCGUCUCCAUCGUCUUCCACACAGGUGUGAUACAGACAGUGGAGAUCAGCCAGUGGCCCAGUUCCAUCUGUAGCCACCCCAACACCUCCAUGGACAUGCACUGUUCUCAGGACGCAGGCUAUGACUACAUGUACUGGUACAGGCACCUCCGGGGAGAGGGCCCGAAACUAAUGGCCUCGCUCGUAGGUGAAUCAGCAAGCUAUGAGGCAGAGUUCAAGUCUGGCUUCAGAGUCUGGAGAUCAGAAGGAAUGAGCUCAGUAAGACAGUGGUCUCUGACAGUACAGAUGGUGCAGAGAAAGGACCAGGCAGUGUAUCUGUGUGCUGCCAGUCAACACAGUGAAGCAGGGAUGCUCAACUCUGUUACAAUAUCACCUUUUGGGAGGCUGCCAAGGAGGCUCUCUCUGGCACCUGGCUGA